UCUAACAUUUUCCUAUAAAUAGAGGGUUAAGUUAGAAUUGAAAAUCACACCAGAAACAAAGUUUUCUCUCUUUCUCUCUCUAUAUUAUCGAGCGUAUUCUUGUGAGUAUACUUUGAGUGUUGCUAUACGGUGCGAGUUUCUAUCAGCACUAUACCGAAAUUCAGUCAAAAGUACGGUUAUUUUGAGGUAAGGGAUAUUAUUUUCUUCUUAAAUGAUAUUUUUCUUCAAUAUCAUUCUGCCGAAGUAUUGGUGAACUUUUUAAUCAAAUUUGGAACUUGUUGUGUCGGGGUUACUAUUCACGUAUACGGAACUAUUCACGAAUACGGCACUAUUCACCGAAAAAUGAAAAUUUUCCUUUUUGUCCAAGAUGUCUAUUUUGGCUACUAUCUUUGAUUGUAUCCAUGUUUUGAUCGUUAUUUUUGAGUUCUGCUUCAAAAUCGUUUAUUAUGAAGUAUUAUUGAUUUUGGAUAAACUGUCAAACGAAUACCUAAUAUUUGUCCUUCUAUCUCACUGGAUUCGUUCUUAAAAAAAUGUUUUUCAUGAUCCUCGGUCCUUAAUUGUGAUACUUGAUGAAUAUCUUUGGCCUGUAGUGCAAAGAUGAAUGAUUAAACUGAUGAAUCUCUUUGGCCCGUAGUGCAAAGAUGAACAGGUGUUGAUAUGAACAUGACCAACUGGUGAUACAAAUGAAUAUCUUUUGCCUGUAGUGCAAAGAUGAUUAAAGAUGUAUAUUGAUUGUUGUUACAGGGAUGAAAUAUUGAUGAUGGACUUUUAAACCUUAGACGACAGUAGAAUUCAUUCUCUACGUGACUCUUCUAAUGGAUUGCUGUUUCCGCUGCAUUUGUUGAUCUAAAACUUGUUGUCUAUUGUAUUCUAUUAGAUUUUUCCCUGUUGAAGACUAACGAUAAUUUGUUGUAUAUUAUCUUAGUCAUAAUAUUCUUUACUGGGCUAGUUGAGCUCACCCUUUUCCUUUUUGUUCCAUUUUUCUUCUCAGGAGGUGAGAACAUAGCAGGAUCGAGUCGGGGUAUGGAGUGAUGGUUCUAGGAAGAUGUUUUAGCUGUCCUCACUAUUUCUGUAAAAUAGUGUAUGAAUAAUUAAUGAGGACUUAUUUGGGUGUG
rnacentral:lncRNA from 1 species